CUGCGCGCUGCCCCGCUCCCCACCCCGCUCCCCGGCCCCACCAGGUCCCUGCUCUCCACCAGGUCCCAGCUCCGCAGCCCCACCAGGUCCCAGCUCCCCAGGUGUCCCCUGCUCCCCAGCCCCAUUCCCUGCUCUCUACCACGUCCUGGCUCCCCACCAGGUCCCGGCUCCCCACCAGGUCCCGGCUCCCCAGCCACCCCCUGCUCCGCAGCCCCACCAGGUCCCUGCUCCGCAGCCCCACCAGGUCCCGGCUCCCCACCAGGUCCCGGCUCCCCACCAGGUCCCAGCUCCGCAGCCCCACCAGGUCCCAGCUCCCCACCAGGUCCCGGCUCCCCAGCCAUCCCCUGCUCCGCAGCCCCACCAGGUCCCAGCUCCCCAGGUGUCCCCUGCUCCCCAGCCCCAUCAGGUCCCUGCUCUCUACCACGUCCUGGCUCCCCACCAGGUCCUGGCUCCCCACCAGGUCCCGGCUCCCCAGCCACCCCCUGCUCUGCAGCCCCACCAGGUCCCUGCUCCGCAGCCCCACCAGGUCCCGGCUCCCCACCAGGUCCCGGCUCCCCAGCCGUCCCCUGUUCCACAGCCCCACCAGGUCCCUGCUCUCCACCAGGUCGCUGCUCCCGCCAGGCCCCUGCUCCUCACCCUGCUCCCUGGUGGCCCCUGCUCCCCGGCCCCACCAAGCUCUGCUCCUUGCCCAGCCAGAAGGGCAACGUGCUCCUGAGCGGUCUCCGUGUAAAAGUAAAGGUUUACAUAAGCGGAUACAGUGAAUCAUGAAAAUCUCCCUAUGAAUGUAGCUGCUUCUCAUAACACCGGCGUGACAUACGCUUAACCCAUAAAUCUGCCAAGGUUCAUGGGCUCAGCGUUUCUGCUGGCACCGGCCGAGCAGGUAGCAGUGACAUCAGAGGUCAGGCUUGCCGCGACACCCGCUCCGCACGGCACCCGCGUGGUGGCACGCCGCGGCCCCCGAACCUGCGCCUCUCCCCGCUCCGCUCCGCUCCGGCGGCCGGCAAACGCAGCGGGAACGCAGCGGCCCCGCGAGAACCGGCGCCGGCUCCUCCUGCUCCCACCUGCCUCCCCAAGGAUAAAUUCUCUCCCUCCUUAACCACAUCCAUAAAGGCACCAAGCCAUGUUAGAUUUCAGAGCAAUAAAGAGCGUGGUGGCAUGACCCCCCCCUCGCCCCGCUAUCCAGCGUACAUCCCUGCAGCCGCCCGGGAUAGGCCUCGCUCCCCUCGGUGCAUCAAGAGGGGCAGCUGUUGCCCUCUGCGUUAACUCGGCUCAUUUUGAACUCCCAGCGCUGGCAAAGCGCAGAGCUCUGCGACCGCCUGCCGCUGCCACUGCACUUCUGCUUUUCGUUAAGUCUUUACCCCUGCAAGAACCACUGGAAUGAACGAGAACAGGAAUCUGAACUUGAUACUGAAAUAUUUUCCCUGGAGUUGAGGAGGGGUCCACACUAUUCCUUUACUUUGUAAUCUGAGUUUUGUGUAGUAAAAGGAAAAAACAAACUGAAAAGGUUGAAAAUAUUAAGGAAAAUAUUACAAAAUACAAAAGUGUAAACUUUUGGGCUUUGCAAUAGAGCAAACUGGUUUGGUAUUAGGCUAGCAAAUCUACUGGCAGUUCUAAACUUUCAAGUUUUUAGAAAGUGAGAUAAAAAUACAAUGACUGUUUUAGAAACCUGGGCGGAAAGGUGAUGAAUUUUUAGCACGGUAUAAUGUUGCACAGUUGGGCAAAAUUAUGCCUCCUUCGCACGGGCAUUUUGCUGCGUGAUUAGCUGCCUCUUUGCCUGCUGCAGCGAGGCCGCCUGAACGGGGUCCGCCAGACAGCGGGGGUGACUUCGGGCUCCAGUGGCCUAUACGAAUGUAAGAAGAUGAGCAUUAUCGCGUCCUCGGGCCAGUUCAGCAAAAAUACUGAAGGCGCGAAAGAUUAAUGAUUUAGAUGCAGAUGGCUUGAAAACAGCCAUUGAAAAAAAUCUCUCUUAGUCAUUUCAAUGAGCAAAGAUACAGUAAAGUGUUAGUAAACA